GUGGGGAAUAUUGGACAAUGGGCGAAAGCCUGAUCCAGCCAUGCCGCGUGUGUGAAGAAGGUCUUCGGAUUGUAAAGCACUUUAAGUUGGGAGGAAGGGCAGUAAGUUAAUACCUUGCUGUUUUGACGUUACCGACAGAAUAAGCACCGGCUAACUUCGUGCCAGCAGCCGCGGUAAUACGAAGGGUGCAAGCGUUAAUCGGAAUUACUGGGCGUAAAGCGCGCGUAGGUGGUUUUGUAAGUUGGAGGUGAAAUCCCCGGGCUCAACCUGGGAACUGCUUUCAAAACUGCUGAGCUAGAGUACGGUAGAGGGUGGUGGAAUUUCCUGUGUAGCGGUGAAAUGCGUAGAUAUAGGAAGGAACACCAGUGGCGAAGGCGACCACCUGGACUGAUACUGACACUGAGGCGCGAAAGCGUGGGGAGCAAACAGGAUUAGAUACCCGGGUAGUCC
rnacentral:rRNA from 1 species